UGGGGAAUUUUGGACAAUGGGGGAAACCCUGAUCCAGCCAUCCCGCGUGUGCGAUGAAGGCCUUCGGGUUGUAAAGCACUUUUGGCAGGAAAGAAACGUCGCGGGUUAAUACCCCGCGAAACUGACGGUACCUGCAGAAUAAGCACCGGCUAACUACGUGCCAGCAGCCGCGGUAAUACGUAGGGUGCAAGCGUUAAUCGGAAUUACUGGGCGUAAAGCGUGCGCAGGCGGUUCGGAAAGAAAGAUGUGAAAUCCCAGAGCUUAACUUUGGAACUGCAUUUUUAACUACCGGGCUAGAGUGUGUCAGAGGGAGGUGGAAUUCCGCGUGUAGCAGUGAAAUGCGUAGAUAUGCGGAGGAACACCGAUGGCGAAGGCAGCCUCCUGGGAUAACACUGACGCUCAUGCACGAAAGCGUGGGGAGCAAACAGGAUUAGAUACCCUGGUAGUCCACGCCCCAAACGAUGUCAACUAGCUGUUGGGGGCCUUCGGGCCUUGGUAGCGCAGCUAACGCGUGAAGUUGACCGCCUGGGGAGUAC
rnacentral:rRNA from 1 species